AGUGGGGAAUCUUAGACAAUGGGGGAAACCCUGAUCUAGCCAUGCCGCGUGAUCGAUGAAGGCCUUAGGGUUGUAAAGAUCUUUCAGUUGGGAAGAUAAUGACGGUACCAACAGAAGAAGCCCCGGCUAACUCCGUGCCAGCAGCCGCGGUAAUACGGAGGGGGCUAGCGUUAUUCGGAAUUACUGGGCGUAAAGCGCACGUAGGCGGACUGGAAAGUCAGAGGUGAAAUCCCAGGGCUCAACCUUGGAACUGCCUUUGAAACUCCCAGUCUUGAGGUCGAGAGAGGUGAGUGGAAUUCCGAGUGUAGAGGUGAAAUUCGUAGAUAUUCGGAGGAACACCAGUGGCGAAGGCGGCUCACUGGCUCGAUACUGACGCUGAGGUGCGAAAGCGUGGGGAGCAAA
rnacentral:rRNA from 1 species